rnacentral:rRNA from 1 species
GGUGUAUAGUUAAUAGCAUUACACUGUGACGUUAGCUACAGAAGAAGCACCGGCAAACUCCGUGCCAGCAGCCGCGGUAAUACGGAGGGUGCGAGCGUUAAUCGGAAUUACUGGGCGUAAAGCGCGCGUAGGCGGUUAUUUAAGUGAGGUGUGAAAUCCCUGGGCUCAACCUAGGAACUGCAUUUCAAACUGGAUAACUUGAGUAUGUCAGAGGGUAUUGGAAUUUCCCCGUGUAGCAGUGAAAUGCGUAGAUAUGGGAAGGAACAUCAGUGGCGAAGGCGAAUACCUGGGAUAAUACUGACGCUGAGGUGCGAAAGCGUGGGGAGCAAACGGGAUUAGAUACCCUGGUAG